UAAGACAGCAUGUGCAGGGAAUAUAUGUGCCUAGGUAGCCUUGGAGAGUUCUGUUAAACGUAAUAUCAAGAACAACUUCAACUGGAUUCUCAAGCACACAAAUCAAAUUAUCAGAAACCUGCAGCCUAGAAAGGUUGAAGAGAGAUGCUUAAGUCUUUUGCCAGUCGUCAUAAUAAUCUGUGAGGCCAUUCGAGGCUCUCACGCCUAAUCACCUUUCUAUGUCUGGGACCUAGAAUGGUGCUUUGCUCAGUGUGUUCUGGGUAAGUGCUUGUUGAAUUUCAUUGAAAAGUAUUUCAAGCUAGGUAAACAAGAUGAGGAAGAGGGGGAACAAAGACAGCUACUCCAACUGGUCCUCUGACUCGGUGGUGGUGCUUUAGCAGGGAUGGUGUUACUUUGGCCCAAGUUGGGGAGGAGGGUGUUUAGGAAAGGGGGAAACAUAAGUAACAAAGAGCAGCUGUUACUUUCAGGGAGGCUGUGAAAUGACUCGGGGUCAUGGGAGGAGGCCGUUAUGAACAGGGAAACACCCUGAGAACAAAGAAGAAGGAUUCGUGUUCGGGGAGACAGACACUGUAAUAGAGUGUUCUUUGUGACACCUUCAGAAUGAUCCUUUCAGAACUAGAAAUCUCUGUGGGAUAUCUCUGUCAAGAAGAAAUGCUCUCCCCAGCCUCCUUAAGAUGGAAAAUGGAGGCUCAGAGAGAUGAGGGAAACUCCUCAAGGUUUUACGAGAAAGAGCAGAACUGACACUCCAACUGACAGCUCCUGAAUGUUUCCGUCCUCACCUACCUGCUUGCUCACCAGAGAGAGUCUAAGUAUUCGCCCUGCCUUUGAGAUCCUCUGUGAAAUGGUCAGACACAUGUCCCCAGUGUCCUCCUUAGAUCCAGAUGAUACCACGUCAGACUACCUUCAGAAGCUUAAAGAUGUUUAACCCUUUCCAAGGCUUAUUGGUUUGCCUAAUCUUAUUAGCCUCCCUCUGUAAUGCCCAACAUGGGAUAUUGAAAUCCAUGUGCCUUCAACGUCACCUCUUCCAUGACCUUUCCCUGUUCUACCCUUGAGGUACCUGUGCUCCCUUAUGGAAGGUUUUGUCCGACACUUUAGUUCUUUCUCUGCUCCCUGAGAAGAGACAAUCUUAUCUGCUUCAUAAUCACCAGCAGAGUCUAGUAGGUAAGAGAUCACAGGAAGCACUUGUGGAAUGGAUGAAAGAAUUAGUGAAUAAUUUACACUUACACACAUUCUAAGUAAAUUUCAUUUCACUAGUUUAUGUGGGAAUCAAACAUGGGAAAUUGAUUACCUUAAUUCAAUGAGUGACCCCCAGUGAUACCUAAACACUAGUUUAUUGUGUUUGUUAGAAUUUAUCUUGCAGAAAUGUACUCAUUUUUUCAUAAUUUUUUUUCCUCUAUGAAACUAUUUUUUAUUGUGACAUUAUUUGCUUCCUGCUAUUUUUCCCCUAUUAAGAUAUCCUUUCUUUUAUGAAAUACCAGUGAAUGUACAGUAUGGUUGAGCUUUUGUAUAUCCUUCUUUGGUAAAAUGAAAAAGUUGAUAACUUCAUGUUCACUCCUAUCCAAUUCAUUCAUCAGGGGAAAUUUGGUUGCUUUAUGAAAUCCCAAAGUCUAGAGGCCACUGCUCUAACUGAACUAAGUGUUUUAACCUUGAUUAGCUUCUUAAACAAAACUGGCUCCUAAACAGCAUUUAGAAAAACGAAGCAGAAAUCUAGUAUUUUUGUGUAUCCUAGUUGCCAUGGAAAUAGUUAUUGUCAUGGUUUCAGAUACGUUGAUGUUUGACCAAGGCAUGAUUUUCAGGCUGACAGUUCCUUCUUUCACAGUGUCUGGAAAUGUCAGUUAAAUGUUCUAGGGCAUUAGCUAGGAGCACUGUUUAAACUUUUGUGGACUUCUUUUGAAAUAGAUUCUGAAUCCUCAGUGGUUCAUCCAAAGUGGUCAUUUUGUUCCUUUCAUCAUGACCUGUAGACAGCUGGGAAGAUACACUCUCCUUCUUUCUGGUAUCUGGUCUCUUUAGUUAGGACGCUAGGAAGAUUUUGAAUGUAUGACUUUGAUUAAUGCAAAUAAGGCAUGGAGGUUUCCUUUUCCUGAUUCAGUUUUCUCAUCUGUUCCCCAUCUUCCUCCUAAUUUUCUAGAUCAGAGAAAUGUAACUUCCUGUUUAGUUUCUUUGUUGUUAAUUUAAAGGUUCUGGAUAAAACUGGAAAAGGGAAAUUAUAGCUUGACAUUGAGAAUUUAAAAAAGGCAAAAGCUUGUGGCAUCCAAAAUGAUAUUCUGUGUGGCAUUUAGAUAACUCAGAAUGGUUUUUUUGCCAUGUGAGAAACAGUUUACUUUUAGGUUAUUCAAAAUGAAAGCUGGAAUUGGACAUAAAAGAAAAACAACAAAAGGCCUUAGUAGGUUAAAAAUGUGCUGAAAUAGUUUUUCACAGUUCCAAAAUAAAAAAGGUUUCUUUAAAAAUAGAAGUAAUAGGCCAGCGCUGCGGCUCACUAGGCUAAUCUUCCGCCUGCGGCGCUGGCACCCUGGGUUCUAGACCCAGUUGGGGCGCUGGAUUCUGUCCCAGUUGCUCGUCUUACAGUCCAGCUCUCUGCAGUGGCCCGGGAAGGCAGUGGAGGAUAGCCCAAAUCCCAUGGACCCUGCACCCGCAUGGGAGACCUGGAGGAAGCACCUGGCUCCUGGCUUUGGAUCAGUGCAGCGCCGGCCGUUGUGGCCAAUUGGGGAGUGAACCAACGGAAGGAAGACCUUUGUCUCUGUCUCUCUCUCUCUCACUGUCUAACUCUGCCUGUCAAAAAAAAAAAAAAAUUGUAAAAAUAGAAGCAGUAGAGGCAGGCAUUAUGGCCUAGCAGGUAAAGCCACAGCUUGGGAUGCUUCCAGCCCUGGCUCUUCUUCUUCCUACCCAGCUUCCUGCUAGCAUGCCUGGGAGGCAACAGGUCAUCUCCCAAGUACCUGGGUCUCUGCCACCUAUGUGGAGACCUGAUGGAAUCUUAGACUCCUGGCUUUGGCCUGACCCCGUCCUGGCUGUUGCAGGCAUUCGGGGAGUGAAUUAACAGAUGGAAGAUUCUCUCUCUCUCCCCCUGUUGCUCUUUCACAUUAAUUAAUUAUAUCUAUUAUGUAAGUAAUCUAAGAAAAGAAAAAGUGCUAUAGUGCUUUUACUAAUUCAUUUAAAGUCUGUUUACUUUCAUUUCUUACCAUAUUCUAAAAGAUUUUUUUUUAAAAGAUUUAUUUAUUUGAGAGAGAGGAAAGGCAGAAGCAGAAAGAAGAGAGAGAGGGGGGUCUUCCAUCCGAUGGUUCACUCCCCAGAUGGCCUCAACAGCUGGAGCUGUGCUGAUCCAAAGCCAGGAGCCAGGAGCUUCUUCCAGGUCUCCCACAUGGGUGCAGGGGCCCAAGGACUCAGCCAUCAUCCACUGCCUUCCCAGGCUAUAGCAGGGAGCUGGAUUGGAAGUGGAGCAGCCGGGUCCUGAACUGGCACCCAUACAGGAUGCCAGUGGUUCAGGCCAGGGCAUUAACCCACUGUGCCACAGCACUGGUCCCAAAAGAUAUUUUGGUACAUUAAGUUAGUGAGCAUAAUUAGACUAAAAACAACUAUUUGUAAAUAGAAUCAGGAAAAAUAUUUGUUGUUUUUACAUAAAAUUGGAAAUCUAAAAACUGGGUGUGUUUGGCCUCACAAUUAGCCCUUAAGGCAUUUGGAUCUGGCUAAAAAGCCCAUGGCAUGGAAAGCCAAGACACUUUGGCAAAAAAUGACCUAAAUGAAAGAUCUCUAUGAGUGAGAGAUCCCAGUGGAAAGAAGGGGCCAUUGAAAAAGGAGGAACCUUUCUCUGAAGGAAGGAAGAAACUUCCACUUUGACUAUAGCCUUUUCUAAAUAAUAUUGGAGUUUGUGAACUCAAGAGGCUUCCAUAGCCUUGGCAGCUUAUGACAAGAGCCUUGGGUGAUUACUGAUGCCAUAAAUAAUAGUGUCAAUUGUUAAAUCAACAACGGGAGUCACUGUGCACUUGUUCCCCAUGUAGGACCUCUGUCUUUAACGUGUUGUACUAUGAGAAUUAACGUUAAAACUAGUCUUCAAACAGUACUUUAUACUUUGUGUAUCCGUGUGGGUGCAAACUGUUGAAAUCUUUACUUAGUAUAUACUAAGCUGAUCUUCUGUAUAUAAAGAUAAUCAAAAAUGAAUCUUAAUGAAGAAUGGGAUGGGAGAAGGAGUAGGAGAUGGGAGGGUUUGUGGGUGGGAGGGUGGAUAUGGGGGGAAGAAUUCUAUAAUCCAAAAGUUGUACUUUCAAAAUUUAUAUAUUAAAAGUUUUCUAUAAAAAUAAUAAAAUAAAACGGUCCAAUUUAAAGAAACUGCAGUUUCCCUGUUCAAAUAAAUAUUAAUAUCGUUCAUUAAAAAAAAACCUGGGUGUGUGCAAAUAGUAAACUAUCACACCCUAAGUCUUGUAUGUCAGUCUUAACAUAAAGGGGUGACCUAAGCAGUCUACACCUGUACAUCAUUACCUUCCAUGAGCCAAUUAGUAGUCUGGUUAAGUUUUUAGGGUGAUCCUAGGAAUGGGAGAUGGAGCCGAGAUGUGAGGGCGGAAUUGGACAGGAGGUGGUAGUAGAUACAGCCUGUUCCCAGAUCUUAGCCAGCUUUUCUCUUCUUCUUCUUCUUCUUCUUUUUAAUUAUGCUUUCUUCAUCAGGAAAAGAGAAAGUGUACAUAACAGGAAACCCUGUAUCAAUACAAAACAAAACAAUGCAUCCUUCUAAUUACAAUUGAGUGUGUUUUUAAAAUAUUUUAAAAUGGAAUUUGAAUAUGUUUAUUGCCUUCUAUUUUGGGUAGAAAAAGCAUGUCAUACAUUGAUUUAGCAUGGCCCUGGGAAAUACACAAAGCAGAACUAAGAAGCAUUUUCUUGGCCAGCGCCGUGGCUCACUAGGCUAAUCCUCCACCUUGCGGCGCCGGCACACCGGGUUCUAGUCCCGGUCGGGGUGCCGGAUUCUGUCCUGGUUGCCCCUCUUCCAGGCCAGCUCUCUGCUGUGGCCCAGGAAGGCAGUGGAGGAUGGCCCAAGUGCUUGGGCCCUGCACCCCAUGGGAGACCAGGAUAAGCACCUGGCUCCUGCCUUUGGAUCAGUGCAGUGCGCCGGCCGCAGCGGCCAUUGGAGGGUGAACCAACGGCAAAGGAAGACCUUUCUCUCUGUCUCUCUCACUGUCUAACUCUGCCUGUCAAAAAAAAAAAAAUUAAAAAAUUUUAAAAAAAGAAGCAUUUUCUUAUUCGCGGUCCAUCUCUGAGGACUACAUCGUGAGCUGCUCCCUGGAAUUGAAUAUUCCUGGCAGCAGGCAGGCACCGCCUUCAUUUCUCAAUUUUCUGCUCUCAGCAUAGGCAGCAGUUCACCAUUUUCCUCCGUGUGCAGGCCUCCCGCAAGCCCGCCGGUCCCAGGCCGCUGUGUCCUGCUGGCCCGGCCUCGCCCUCCGGUGCUUGGACGCCAGUCCCACCCAGGGCUUCCAGAAUCUCUCUGCUGAGCCCGCAUUUUGCUUCCUGUUUGUUUGCUUUCAUGAGGAGCAGCACACGGCGCCUCUCCUCCAACUGGGGGCCGUAGGGCAGACGGCCUGUAGCUCAUCUCCUGCUUCCAGCGCUGUCACCUGUUCAUCUGAGACGUCAGAACCUGCAGGCAGGGUGCCGGGGCGGGGGUCCUCCCCCAGACGCCUUCGCUGACUUGUGGUCAACGCUGGGGCACGUGCGUUUCAGGAAUUCUGAGAAUUCCUGAGAAACAGAAAGGUGGGAACAGAACUGUCCUAUUUUUCUGACGCUUCAGGAACGGCUUCUGCUUCGAACCCCACACAGGUCCUUUGGCCAGCGCCGCCAUGGCGUCGUGCGUCCACGCACCUGCAGACUCCCGGGCCCCAGAAAUGGACCACAGUGAGGGCGCAGCUCAGAGGCGCCGCAGCUCCACGGAUAGCGGGGCUGAGCUAACCACCCCUGCCCGGCGCCAGACAGGAGCUGCAUUUUUUAUAUUUAAAAUAAUUUUUAAAUUAAAUUUUUUCUAGUGGUGGAAGCAAUCUACAUCCAUUUGUUUAAUUCAGAAAAUACAGGAAAGAAAAAGGCAGAAAUAAACACCUUUAAUUUCAUCACCCAGAGGUGACCUUAGAAUAUCCUGCAUUCGUUUGUAACAAAAAAUUGUAUAUGACAUUUGUAACAUUUCUUUUACAUAUUAAUGUCCUUUUAUAUAAGUAAAUAUUCAUCUAAAACACCAAUUUAAUGCACAACAGAAUUUUGUUCUAUGACACAUCUUAAAAAUUUUAAUCAAGUCCCUGUUAUAGUAUAUUUUUGUUACUUCCAUAUUUAUUUUCUGUUUAAAAGAUUUAUUUAUUUAUUUGAAAGACAGGAUUGGGGCCGGUGCUGUAGGUGUAGCAGGUAAAGCCACCGCCUGCAGUGCUGGCAUCCCGUAUGGGAUUGCUACACUUGCAAUCCAGCUCUCUGCUAUGGCCUGGGAAGGCAGUGGAAGAUGGCCCAAGUACUUAGGCCCCUGCACCCACCUGGGAGACUCGGAGGAAGCUCCUGGCAUCAGAUCGGCACAGUUCCAGCCGUUGUGGCCAUCUGGAGAGUGAACCAGCAGAUGGAAGACCUCUCUCUCUCUCUCUCUCUCUCUCUCUCACUCUGCCUCCACCUCGCUGUAACUUUGCCUUUCAAAUAAAUAAAUCUUAAAAAAAAAAAAAAAGGACAAGGUUACAGAGACACAGAGAGAAAGAGAGAUCUUCCAUCCACUGGUUCACUCCUCAGAUGGCCUCAGUUGCUGGGCUGGGCCACUCUGAAGCCAAAAGCCAGGAACCAGGAGCUUUACCCGGGUCUCCCACAUGGGUGCAGGUGCACAAGCACUUGGGCCAUCCUCCACUGCUUUCCACGGCCUUAGUAGGGAGCUGGAUUGGGAGUGGAGCAGCUGGGACUCCAACCAGUGCCCAACUGGGAUGAUAGUGUUGUAGGCGGCAGCUUUGCCUAACACUGGCUCCCUGCAUUGUUAUUUUAAUUUGUAUUGUUAAUUGCGAAGUAAGAAUAAUAAAGAUUUCUUCAGAAUUUUAUUUGCUAUUUUCUGUUAUGGGAGCAUAUUUUUAUUUUUCUGUUAGAGUUUUCCUAUUAUGUGAUAGUAAAUAUAUUGUAUAUUAAAUAUAUCAAGUCCUUGUUGAUCAAAUGCAGUCAUUUUUCCAAGUUCAUCAUAUUUCUAUGUUUGUUAAUUGUAGCACGUUGGGUUGUGUCAGUUUUUCUAUAGUCAAGUCUAUCAACCUUUCCUUUUACACUUUCUGCUUUAGAUGUCAAUCUUUGAGAAGUCUUUCCUCCACCGCCACCCCUGGGAAGGUUAUGUAAAUGAAUAUAUAACUAUAAUGACAGUAAAUGAAUGUAUUGUCACAGCUCUUUCGUCUCCAGAGAUACUUAGACUUUACUGUUUUGAUCUCAGUAACAUUUUUACUUUGUAGUCUAAGAUAAGCAUUUUUAUCAGAAUUAUACCAAUAAUGUUGAUUCUGAAGUUAGUAUUUUUCAGAAUGUGUGCCAUUUAGGCUAAUUUUUAAAUUAUAUUCUUCUCUGCAGUUAUGGUACUCUCAUUUUUCCAUUUUCUUUUGCUAUCUUAUUGAGAAUAUUGUUAACUUGGAUUUAUUCUUUUCUAUGCAAAUUUACAACAAAUAUUUUAAAAAUUUUUUUUUAAGAUUUUAUUUAUUUUAUGUGAGAGGUAGAAUUACAGAUAGUGAGAGGGAGAGCCAGAAAGGUCUUCAAUCCGCUGGUUCACUACCCAAAUGGCUGCAAUGACUGGAGCUGCACUGAUCCAAAGCCAGGAGCCAGGCGGUUCUUCCUGGUCUCCCACAUGGGUGCAGGGGGCCCAAGGACUUGAGCCAUCUUCUACUGCUUUCCCAGGCCACAGCAGAGAGCUGGGUUGGAAGUGGAGCAGCCGGGACUAGAACUGGCACGCAUAUGGGAUACGGACACCACAGGUGGAGGAUUAACCCACUAUACCAUGGCGGCGACCCCAAAGAUUUGAUUUUUAAUGCAGUUUUUGUCUACUUCAAGUUCUUUUAUUUAUGUAUUUAUUUAUUUAAAAGAACCACAGAGAGGGACAGAAAGAGAGAGAGAGAGAGAGAUCUUCCACCCCCUGCCACAAUGGCCAGAGCUGAGCCAGGCCAAAGCCAGGAGACAGGAGCUUUUUCUCGGUUUCCCAUGCUGGAAGCAGGGCCCGAAGCACUUGGGCCAUCUUCACUGCUUUUCCCAGACCAUUAAGCAGGGGGCUGGAUCAGAAGUGGAGCAGCGAGAACUUGAACCAGUACCCAUAUGGGAUGCCAGCAUUGCAGGCAGUGGCUUUACCCACUAUUCCACAACGCCGGCCCCUGUCAGCUUCAAAUUCGAACCGCAAGAUCUUCUGCUAUUGUUUUCAUUUGUGGUUAUUAACAUUUGAUUUUCCUGAGAAAUAUUUUUAUAGCUCUAAUUUUGUUUAAAAGAUGUGACUUUUUGGGCAAAACUUUUUAUCUUCUACAAUUUUUGCAAUGUACAAUAUCUUUUAAAAUUUUAUAUGGAUUAUUUUUAUUUAUUUGAGAGACAUAUGGACAGAGUUUCCAUGCUGGUUCACUACUCUAAUCCCAUCACAGCAGGGACCAGGCCAGGCCAAAGCUGAGAGCCAGUAACUAACUCCAGGUCUCCCAGAUGAGUGGCAGGGGCACCAGUACUUGAGCCAUCAUCCAAGAUAAACAUUAGCAGGAAGCUAGAAUCUGGAGCCAGUGUUGGGACUUGAACCCAGGCACUCUGAUAUGGGAUGUGCGCAACAGCUGCACCAUACGUCUGCCCUGUGUAUGGAUUAUCUCUGCUGGCAUUUUUAUUAGAGAUUGGGUACAAGAUGGAGGGGCUGCAGGCUGGUGCUGUCACACACACACGAGAACAGGGAAUCAGACCCACAAAUUCAUUGAUAUUUUCUUCAUAAAGAGAACCGAAUUCCUCAUCCCUUGAGUGUCAGCUGGAUUAAGGUUCUCAGUUCCAGUGAAUAGGAGAAAACAUAAGGGACAGUGUCCAUCAACUAGCCUUUGGAAAUUGCAGCUUCUUGCUUUUCUCUCAGCUCACGUGCUGUGGGAAAAUCCUGCUGCCAUGCUGGGAGGACACUUGAGUAGUCUGUGAGGAGGUACCCUUGGUCAAGCAGUGAGGCUUCCUGCCCACAGCCAUGCAAGUGAGCUGUAUUGGAAGCAAAUCCCCAGUCCCUGUUGGAGUUUCAGAAGCCUGCAGCCGGGGCCAGGGCUGGUGUCCAGUAUGGGUGCUGGUUCAAUCCCAGCUACUCCUCUUCCAAUCCAGCUCUCUGCUAUGGCCUGGAAAGCAGUGGAAGAUGCCCCAAGUACUUGGGCCCUGGUACCCACAAGGGAGACCCAGAGGAAGCUCCUGGCUCCUGGCUUUGGAUUGGCCCAGCUCCGGCUGUUGCAGCCAUUUGGGGAGUGAACCAGCAGAUGCAAAACCUUUCUCUGCCUCUGCCUCUCUAUAACUGUUUUUCAAAUAAAUAAAAUAAAUGUUUAAAACAUAAAAUAGUCAAAUUAGAUAUUUGACUUUUCUUGAUGAAGAGAACACAAAGAAUGUCUUGUGCCAGAAACAAAAUUUGCUGACAGGGAUGGGAUGAACAGCUGAAAAUACAAAAGGCUAAUUUGCACUGCUUUUCAAAGAGUUUGUGUUGGGGUGGCAAGAUUGCUUGCAGAGUUGUCCAUUCUUCUUAUAACUCAAAUAAUAUUUAUAAGACAGGCUGUAGUUGUAGUUUAUGUAAAGAUUAGAUUUUCCAUUUGUUUCUUUACUCCUGCUCUUCACAUCAAUAAAACGUUUGUUUCUUUUUUUUUUUUUCACUAGACUCUGAGCAGCUGUAAUAUGUUUUUGGUUUUUAAAAAAUAUUUAUUCAUUUACUUGAAAGGCAGAGCUAUAUAGAGAGAGGCAGGGAGAGAGAUCCUCCAUCUGCUGGUUCACUCCCCAAAUGGCCACAACAGCUGGAACUGGAACAGACUGAGGCCAGGAGCCAGGAGCAAGAAGCUUCCUCGGGGUUUCCCACGUGGAUGCAGGGUCCCAAGCACUUGGGCCAUCCUUUAAGGCUGCUUUCCCAGGUGAAUCAGCAGAGAGCUGCAUUGGAAGUGAAGCAGGCGGGACUUGAACCAGUGCCAAGAUGGGAUGCCAGCGUCACAGGUGGCUGCUUUACCCGCUAUGCCAUAAUGCCAGCCCCUAUAAUAAGUUUUCUGUCUGGAGGUAAUUUCUUUCCCUGAAUGAACUAUUUUUCAUCAGGCAUUUCCAACGGAAUUAUUUAAGUGGAUAGCACAUCAUUUUAUGGAGUAAUUACGUGUGAUUAAAGCAAUAAAGCCUCUAAAUGUUGUGUUAUGGUAGGACCUCAUUCUAGCAUGAUACUCCAAGAGCCAUCUCCUCUGAGACAUGGUAACUAUGACAAAGUUUUGAACUCAUGCUUAUCCUGUAAGUUGCAUACUAAGCUAGCACUUCUCCCCCAAAUAGAAUUCCAACGUUAAAAAAUGUUGCUGCCUUAAUUUUAAAUUUCGUAAUUAAAAUUAAAAGCAGCAUUCAGUUUAGAAAAAUCAUUUCCACUCCUCCUUGCUCCAGCUGCAAAAAAGCAAUUGUAAUUCAAAGGACUGUAUUGUGUGACCUCAGACAUUCCAUGGGGCUGGAGAAAAUGCUGGGGAAAACAAUGCAGGGAAUAGGAGGGGCCCGGGGACUUCAGAGCCCGUGUUCAUCCUCCAGUUUAGCAGCACGGUAGUGCUUCUUCACAUUUCAUGGAAUUUUUUUUUAAUUUACAGGAUAUUUUUGGCAUUAUUUUUGAAAGUGUAUUAAUUAUUGCAGUUUAGAACAUUAAGUAAUUUUUUUUUCUACAGAGUUUUUUUUUUUUAAUCCCAAAAUGAUUUAUUAGGACCCCAGGUAAUUUUCUUAGGAGAACUGCUCUGAAAGAACACAAAUUAGCACACUUUUUCCAAGUGAAUGUCUUAGUUCUUGCUGGAUUCCAAAUGGAACCAAAACUGCAUUAUGUAACAAAUGCUCGCCCAGAGUAUGACUGGAUUUUAAUCAAAGGUCUCAUUGAAAUGCCCACUUCCUAAUUGCAUCCUUUCCCCAAAAAGAGUGAGAACACAACUUACGAAGGGAGAAAAAUCAGGCUCUACAUAAAAUGUUUGAUUUGCUUUCACUUAGUAUGUGUUUGUUUUCAGAAUUUGUGAAAAGUAAUCCUUUGACACAAAAUUGUAUGACGAAUAAAGUGUUCCAGCCAAGUUAUAAAUCUCAGUACCGGGAGGUUUAAAUGGCAAGUGUUGGGCAGGACGGGACCCUUGCUGCCCCACAACUCUGCUCAAACAAAGGCACAUUCAUGAGCCUAGCUAGCCACUUGACGCUGGAGUCUGUCACCAGCUGCACAGCCAGGGUUGCUAGUGAAGUUCUUCAGGAAAACUCAAGGGCAUGGAAAGGAACAGGGGCGAGUGCACCUGGCUUCUUCCUAUGCAUGGGACUUCCUGUAGACCAAAUAUGAUUCUGACACACAUGUUUCAUUAGAAAAUAACAUGCUUUCACAGUUUAACAAAACUAAGAAACUUCCAGUUCAGCAUGUCACACAACCAAAUGUGUAACAGGGAAUGUUUUGUUGGAAAGACAGAAACUAAAAUAGUCUUAAGAGUGGAUUAGUAUAAUCCACUCCCAAAUCCCCAUCUAUGGACUCCCCGUAUCACUUGCCUAUUAACAUACCUAAAACAGAAAAGCAAACCCUGAGAGCCUCUUUCAAAAAGGUUUCAAAACAGGAGCAGGCAUUUCACCCAGUGCCUAAGGCAUCUGCGUUCCAUAUCAGGGUAUCUGGGUUUGAUACCCUGUUCUGGCUCCAGCUUCCUGUUAAUUCAGACACUGGGGAGCAUCAGAUGAUGGCUCAAGUGCUUGGGUUCCUGUUACACAGUCGAAGGCCUGGCCUGAGUUCUCAGCUCUGUUGUGAGCAUUUGAGAGGUGAACCAGCAGAGGUGAUCUCUUUCUUUCCCUUUGUCUCCCCGCCUCUUGAAUAAAGAAAUAAUUAAAAAAAAAAAAAAAACAGAA